ACAAGCACCUUUGUGCGGCAUCUUCAUCAUGGCAGGGCGAUCAAGUGGGAAUUGGGCCGCGUGUGCUGGAGUUUUAGUUCUGGUAAGAAUCUUUGGGCCUAGCCCAAGACCAAAAAAACAAAAAAUGUGAGUCUAAAAAGUUGCAGGCACCGGUAAACAAUAAUAAAAACCCUAACCUCAAUUCAACACAAUCAGAAUCAGAAUCGUCGACCCCUUCUUUGCUAUCAUACGUUUCGGUGUUCAUCGUUUACAGUGGCUAAGAGUUAUGGCUUUCGACGGAUCUGAAACACCUUCAGCUAAGGUGGAUGAAUGAUGACGGCGAUUACCCUUCAGGUGUGUACUGAGAAGGGAUUUCUAAAGGUUGCAUACACUCACGAUGAAAAAAAUGCUAUUGUUGGACUGUAUGGGAUAACUGAUUCAUACGCGAAACUGAUAUCGUUCUACUCGUGCAACGACAAUUCAGUUUGCAUGUAUGAGUUGCGAACAUGGGUGACCAUCAAGCUUGCAUCUAGUUGUCUUGCUAACUUUGUUGUAAUGUUUUUAGAGAGAGCUCACAUGUUUUCACGAACUCUUCUUUAAUGGAGAUGGAACUAAUUUGCUGAAUGCGUGGAAAUGGUUGGAAGAGCAUAAGGUGCCUUCCUCCUAAGCUACAAGUUCUUUUGAGGAGGGGACUACAACAUAUGCUUAUAUAAUAAUAAAGUGACACAGGUUCGAAGACUCAGUUUGAAGCUGCGGGCGAUUAUUAGUCUUAUUUGAGUUAAGUUUAUGUGUUGAGUCGCUUUCCUAGAAUUCCCUUGCCUUUGUUAGUUAAGAUUUUAUUUUUUACAGAGAGACAGGAGUUGUGUUUAAGUUUCAUUUG